UACGUAGGGGGCAAGCGUUGUCCGGAAUCAUUGGGCGUAAAGCGUGCGUAGGCGGCCCGAUAAGUCUGCUGUAAAAGUCAACGGCUCAACCGUUGAAAGCCGGUGGAUACUGUCGGGCUAGAGUCCGGAAGAGGCAAGUGGAAUUCCUGGUGUAGCGGUGGAAUGCGCAGAUAUCAGGAGGAACACCGGUGGCGAAGGCGGAUCUCUGGGCCUUGCCUGACGCUGAGGCGCGAAAGCUAGGGGAGCGAACAGG
rnacentral:rRNA from 1 species